AUUGAACGCUGGCGGCAUGCCUUACACAUGCAAGUCGAACGGCAGCAUGAUCUAGCUUGCUAGAUUGAUGGCGAGUGGCGCACGGGUGAGUAAUACAUCGGAACGUGCCCUGUAGUGGGGGAUAACUAGUCGAAAGAUUAGCUAAUACCGCAUACGACCUGAGGGUGAAAGUGGGGGACCGCAAGGCCUCAUGCUAUAGGAGCGGCCGAUGUCUGAUUAGCUAGUUGGUGAGGUAAAGGCUCACCAAGGCGACGAUCAGUAGCUGGUCUGAGAGGACGAUCAGCCACACUGGGACUGAGACACGGCCCAGACUCCUACGGGAGGCAGCAGUGGGGAAUUUUGGACAAUGGGCGAAAGCCUGAUCCAGCAAUGCCGCGUGUGUGAAGAAGGCCUUCGGGUUGUAAAGCACUUUUGUCCGGAAAGAAAUGGCUCUGGUUAAUACCUGGGGUCGAUGACGGUACCGGAAGAAUAAGGACCGGCUAACUACGUG
rnacentral:rRNA from 1 species